CCCCCUUAUUUUGGCAUGUUGGCUACUUCAUAAAUUAGUAGAACAUGAAUGCUGUGAGGGGGUAGAAUAAAAGGGGAGGCUAUGCCUUCGGUGUUCACACGAUUUUUGUCUGAAUCCCAUCCUCAAUGUCUCCCACAUUG